rnacentral:rRNA from 1 species
UACAGAGGUGGCAAGCGUUAUUCGGAAUUAUUGGGCGUAAAGGGCGCGUAGGCGGCCUGGCAAGUGGAAGGUGAAAUCCCUCGGCUUAACCGAGGAACUGCCUCCCAAACUGCUUGGCUUGAGACCAGGAGAGGUGAGUGGAAUUCCCAGUGUAGCGGUGAAAUGCGUAGAUAUUGGGAGGAACACCAGUGGCGAAGGCGGCUCACUGGACUGGUACUGACGCUGAGGCGCGAAAGCAUGGGGAGCAAACGGG